AGUCCUUUCUGGAGGGGACCUGGCUUCCCAUUCAGACAAGGGACUCUGGGUCUGUGAACUGGCUUAUAUCUGGGAAUUGACUGGGGACUGUGACUCUGUUUUUAGGAUUCAGAUUAGACUUCUGCUCACCUGACCUAGAACUCUUCUGCAAACACAGAUCCAGUAAAAAUGUGGCAGGCUUCUUAUCUAUUUCACUUCUAGGAAUGCCACGAUCAGCUGGCACCAUAGGUCUCUGCGAGUCAGGCUAUUCUGGUUGCAGCUUUGACUCUGCUGUCUUUUAAUGAUAACUGCAUCCACCUUGCCUUUGGGGACUGAGUGCUCUGAUCACUUGGUCCCAGCCUCUGUAGUGUGCCUAUGUCACUUACCCUCUUUAUACCUCAGUUUCCUCCUCUAUAAAAUGGGCAUCCUAAUAGCACCCACCCUCAGGGCUGCUGUGGGGUAUAGAUGGAUUAGCAUAUGGAAAGUAAUAGAAGAGCAUCUCAAAGUCCAUGUGUCGUUAUCAGAAUUAUUUCAUGAUAGGGAGAGCUGGAGGAGGGAGGAAGGUGCUGAGCAGACCCAUGUGCUCUGCCACCAGUGUUUCCUGAGCACCUACUGUGUGCUGCCCACUGUGAGAGCUGUUAGGGUUGAAAUAGAGAGCACAGCAGGGUAGGGGCUGCCAUCAGGAGCUUAGUUGGGGAGACCAUUGUGCAACAUGGUUCCAGCUCUUGGGGUGGAGAAGCUCAGGGGCCUAGGAUCCUGGGCAGAAUCUGGGGAAGGACACAGCCUCCCCAGCCUCUCCUGCCUCCUCUGCCUCCCUGGCCUCCUCUGCUUCUGUGGCCUCUCCUGCCUUCCUGGCUUCCCCUUCCACCCCGGCCUCCCCAGUCUCCCCUGUCUCUCCUGCUUUUGAGGUGGGCCAGGAGCUGCUGGUGCUCACUUAGCCUGUCCUGGACUCUGGGUGUAGCACCUCCAUGUCCAGAAAAUACCCCCGAGUUCAGCUCAUCACACAGCCAAGGAAGGAGCUCCACACUGACACUAAGGGUGCAUCCUGGGCUCCUUCAUCAGGGCAUGCCUCCAAAAUAUUUCUCCACGUCUCCUCCCUUUGCCCACCUGCAUUGUCUCUGUGCCUCAGCCCCGGCUGGGGGCCUGCAAGGAUCCCCUAUCUCCUCUGCCCCUGCACGGCUGGGUCCAAGGCCAUCUGUCCACCCACCACACCUCUCUCACCUUGCACACCACGCUCCAGCCCCACCGUCCUCUUUCUGCUUCUUUCCCAGCCUCUGGGCUUUUGCACACGCUGUUCCCUCUGCCUGAACACCCUCCACUGGGCUGAGAACAACCUCUGAGACUUCUCUCAGCUGUUGCUUCCUUUGGAACAGCCGCUGCUGCUGUCCCUCUCCCAGCUCCAAGACCUGCUGAGCCUCCUGUCUUUUUUAGUUCCCAUGCACCCAGCACUUCUCCUUGGCCUCCUUUGGCCCAAUUGACAAUGUCCAUUCUCAAUGCCUUCUCACCCAGCGCUGAGCCCCACUGGGUGAAGGCAAUGCCUGUCAUGUUCACCACAAUAUCCCCUCCCCCAUCACCACGCCUGGUCCACAGUGAU
rnacentral:lncRNA from 1 species